AAAAAAUUAAAUAAUAUAUAUGUGUUAGUUUGAGUUGGACAUGAACUUGAUUGACUUAGUUUGAGACUUUGAGUGUUACCCGUUGAACACUUCUAUUGAGUAUUACCAAAUUGUCACCAGUUGACUUUCUUAGUUCUUUAGUUUUAUUUUGUGGAAAAAUAGCCACCCAUGACAUGAGCAGAUACAAUUUGGCUUCUUAAUAAACCAUCUCAACGACUACACAAUUU
rnacentral:lncRNA from 1 species